rnacentral:rRNA from 1 species
AGAGUUUGAUUCUGGCUCAGGAUGAACGCUAGCUACAGGCCUAACACAUGCAAGUCGAGGGGUAGCGUGAGGGAAGCUUGCUUCCCUUGACGACGACCGGCGAAUGGGUGAGUCACGCGUGUCCAACCUGCCCCCGUGCCCGGGGAUAGCCCUUGGAAAUGAGGAUUAAGACCCGAUAUGUGGCGCUUCCGCAUGGCGGCGCCAUGAAGCAGGCACGGGAUGGGGACGCGUCGGAUUAGCUUGACGGCGGGGCAACGGCCCACCGUGGCGACGAUCCGCAGGGGUUCUGAGAGGAAGGUCCCCCACACUGGCACUGAGACACGGGCCAGACUCCUACGGGAGGCAGCAGUGAGGAAUAUUGGUCAAUGGGCGGGAGCCUGAACCAGCCAAAGUAGCGUGCAGGACGACGGCCCUACGGGUUGUAAACUGCUUUUCCGGGAGGAUAAAGUGAGCCACGCGUGGUUCAUUGCAGGUAUCCCGGGAAUAAGGACCGGCUAAUUCCGUGCCAGCCGCAGC